rnacentral:rRNA from 1 species
GAUGAACGCUGGCGGCGUGCCUAAUACAUGCAAGUCGAGCGAACGGACGAGAAGCUUGCUUCUCUGAUGUUAGCGGCGGACGGGUGAGUAACACGUGGAUAACCUACCUAUAAGACUGGGAUAACUUCGGGAAACCGGAGCUAAUACCGGAUAAUAUUUUGAACCGCAUGGUUCAAAAGUGAAAGACGGUCUUGCUGUCACUUAUAGAUGGAUCCGCGCUGCAUUAGCUAGUUGGUAAGGUAACGGCUUACCAAGGCAACGAUGCAUAGCCGACCUGAGAGGGUGAUCGGCCACACUGGAACUGAGACACGGUCCAGACUCCUACGGGAGGCAGCAGUAGGGAAUCUUCCGCAAUGGGCGAAAGCCUGACGGAGCAACGCCGCGUGAGUGAUGAAGGUCUUCGGAUCGUAAAACUCUGUUAUUAGGGAAGAACAUAUGUGUAAGUAACUGUGCACAUCUUGACGGUACCUAAUCAGAAAGCCACGGCUAACUACGUGCCAGCAGCCGCGGUAAUACGUAGGUGGCAAGCGUUAUCCGGAAUUAUUGGGCGUAAAGCGCGCGUAGGCGGUUUUUUAAGUCUGAUGUGAAAGCCCACGGCUCAACCGUGGAGGGUCAUUGGAAACUGGAAAACUUGAGUGCAGAAGAGGAAAGUGGAAUUCCAUGUGUAGCGGUGAAAUGCGCAGAGAUAUGGAGGAACACCAGUGGCGAAGGCGACUUUCUGGUCUGUAACUGACGCUGAUGUGCGAAAGCGUGGGGAUCAAACAGGAUUAGAUACCCUGGUAGUCCACGCCGUAAACGAUGAGUGCUAAGUGUUAGGGGGUUUCCGCCCCUUAGUGCUGCAGCUAACGCAUUAAGCACUCCGCCUGGGGAGUACGACCGCAAGGUUGAAACUCAAAGGAAUUGACGGGGACCCGCACAAGCGGUGGAGCAUGUGGUUUAAUUCGAAGCAACGCGAAGAACCUUACCAAAUCUUGACAUCCUUUGACAACUCUAGAGA